rnacentral:rRNA from 1 species
AUACGGAGGGUGCAAGCGUUAAUCGGAAUUACUGGGCGUGAAGCGCGCGUAGGCGGCUCAGUCAGUCGGAUGUGAAAGCCCCGGGCUCAACCUGGGAAUUGCAUUCGAUACUGCUGAGCUAGAGUAUGGAAGAGGGAAGUGGAAUUCCGGGUGUAGCGGUGAAAUGCGUAGAUAUCCGGAGGAACACCAGUGGCGAAGGCGACUUCCUGGGCCAAUACUGACGCUGAGGUGCGAAAGCGUGGGGAGCAAACAGGAUUAGAAACCCCAGUAGUCC